UACGUAGGGUGCAAGCGUUAAUCGGAAUUACUGGGCGUAAAGCGUGCGCAGGCGGUUUUGUAAGUCUGUCGUGAAAUCCCCGGGCUUAACCUGGGAAUGGCGAUGGAGACUGCAAGGCUAGAGUUUGGCAGAGGGGGGUAGAAUUCCACGUGUAGCAGUGAAAUGCGUAGAGAUGUGGAGGAACACCAAUGGCGAAGGCAGCCUUCUGGGCCAACACUGACGCUCAUGCACGAAAGCGUGGGGAGCAAACAGG
rnacentral:rRNA from 1 species